ACGGGUGAGUAACACGUAGGUAAUCUACCUGAAUGUCUGGAAUAACCGGUCGAAAGACUGGCUAAUACUGGAUAGAGCGAUGGGAUCCGUAAUCGGAUCUUUCGGGAAAGGGAGCUCGCAAGAGCCUUCGCAUUCAGAUGAGCCUGCGUCUCAUUAGCUAGUUGGUGAGGUAAUGGCUCACCAAGGCUUUGAUGGGUAGCUGGUCUGAGAGGAUGAUCAGCCACACUGGAACUGAAACACGGUCCAGACUCCUACGGGAGGCAGCAGUGGGGAAUCUUGCGCAAUGGACGAAAGUCUGACGCAGCCACGCCGCGUGAGUGAAGAAGGCCUUCGGGUUGUAAAGCUCUGUCGGGAGGGACGAAAAAUCUUGAGGUUAACAGCCUCAGGACUUGACGGUACCUCCAAAGGAAGCACCGGCUAACUUCGUGCCAGCAGCCGCGG
rnacentral:rRNA from 1 species